GGCGGCGUGCUUAACACAUGCAAGUCGAACGAAGAGCGAUGGAAGCUUGCUUCUAUCAAUCUUAUGGCGAACGGGUGAGUAACGCGUAAUCAACCUGCCCUCAGAGGGGGAUAACAGUUGGAAACGACUGCUAAUACCGCAUACGAUCUAAUCUCGGCAUCGAGGAUAGAUGAAAGGUGGCCUCUACAUGUAAGCUAUCACUGAAGGAGGGGAUUGCGUCUGAUUAGCUAGUUGGAGGGGUAACGGCCCACCAAGGCGAUGAUCAGUAGCCGGUCUGAGAGGAUGAACGGCCACAUUGGGAUGAGACACGGCCCAGACUCCUACGGGAGGCAGCAGUGGGGAAUCUUCCGCAAUGGACGAAAGUCUGACGGAGCAACGCCGCGUGAGUGAUGACGGCCUUCGGGUUGUAAAGCUCUGUUAAUCGGGACGAAAGGCCUUUC
rnacentral:rRNA from 1 species